CUGCCUACGGGACGCAGCAGUGAGGAAUAUUGGUCAAUGGGAGAGGUCCUGAACCAGCCAAGCCGCGUGAGGGAAGACGGCCCUAUGGGUUGUAAACCUCUUUUGUCGGAGAACAAAACCCGGGACGAGUCCCGGACUGCGUGUAUCCGAAGAAAAAGCAUCGGCUAACUCCGUGCCAGCAGCCGCGGUAAUACGGAGGAUGCGAGCGUUAUCCGGAUUUAUUGGGUUUAAAGGGUGCGUAGGCGGUCCGUUAAGUCAGCGGUAAAAUUGUGGGGCUCAACCCCGUCGAGCCGGUGUAACUGGCG
rnacentral:rRNA from 1 species